rnacentral:rRNA from 1 species
CGUGGGUAGCAAACAGGAUUAGAUACCCUGGUAGUCCACGCCGUAAACGAUGAGCACUAGGUGUUGGGCCCGUUAGGGCUCAGUGCCGCAGUUAACGCAAUAAGUGCUCCGCCUGGGGAGUACGCUCGCAAGAGUAAAACUCAAAGGAAUUGACGGGGACCCGCACAAGCAGCGGAGCAUGUGGUUUAAUUCGAAGCAACGCGAAGAACCUUACCAGGGCUUGACAUCCUGCUGACAGGACCUUAACCGGUCCCUUCUUCGGACAGCAGAGACAGGUGGUGCAUGGUUGUCGUCAGCUCGUGUCGUGAGAUGUUGGGUUAAGUCCCGCAACGAGCGCAACCCUUGUCGCUAGUUACUAACAUUCAGUUGAGGACUCUAGCGAGACUGCCGAGGUCAACUCGGAGGAAGGUGGGGAUGACGUCAAAUCAUCAUGCCCCUUAUGUUCUGGGCUACACACGUGCUACAAUGGUCGGUACAAUGAGAGGCAAUACUGUGAAGUGGAGCAAAUCACCAAAACCGAUCCCAGUUCGGAUUGUAGGCUGCAACUCGCCUACAUGAAGUUGGAGUUGCUAGUAAUCGCAGAUCAGAAUGCUGCGGUGAAUGCGUUCCCGGGUCUUGUACACACCGCCCGUCACACCAUGGAAGUUGGGGGUGCCCGAAGUCGGUUAGUUAAUCUAUCGCCUAAGGCAAAACCAAUGACUGGGGUGAAGUCGUAACAAGGUAGCCGUUCGAGAACGAGCGGCUGGAUCA